GAUGAAGAACGUAGCGAAAUGCGAUAAGUAAUGCGAAUUGCAGAAUUCCGUGAGUCAUCGAAUCUUUGAACGCACAUUGCGCCCCCUGGUAUUCCGGGGGGCAUGCCUGUCCGAGCGUCAUUACAACCCUCAAGCUCAGCUUGGUGUUGGGCCCCGCCGCCCCGGCGGGCCCUAAAGUCAGUGGCGGUGCCGUCCGGCUCCGAGCGUAGUAAUUCUUCUCGCUCUGGAGGUCCGGUCGUGUGCUCGCCAGCAACCCCCAAUUUUUUUCAGGUUGACCUCGGAUCAGGUAGGGAUACCCGCUGAACUUAAGCAUAUCAAUAAGCGGAGGA
rnacentral:misc_RNA from 1 species